rnacentral:rRNA from 1 species
GUUAUCUAAAAGAGAAAACUAUUUUUGUUCACGAAGCCAGGCGAGCUAAAUCUUUUCUAUAUUAGAAGAUAAUAUUAGUGUUGUAAUAUUAAUAGACCAUAAGAAUUUAGGGGUGAUAGGCCUGUCAAGUUAGGCGAUAUCUUGAUUAUAGGGAAAUAUAUUUAGUAUAAUAUAUAACCUAAAAAUGUUAAGGUUUUUAGGAAACAUAAUAUAAAUUUUAUAUAAACUAGCUGAAUAUGUAAGAACUACAGUUUAUAUAUAUUAACAUAAGAUAUUAUAUAUUAUAUGUAAAUUACUUAUAUUUUUUACAUAAUAAAAGUAAAAGUAAUUAUGAUUACAUUAGUAUUAAGUAAUAAAUUUUAUUAAGGAACUCGGCAAACCUUUUUCUCGACUGUUUAACAAAAACAUGCCUUAAGAAUGUAUUUAAGGUUUUACCCUGCUCAAUGAUAGAUUAAAUAGCCGCAGUACCCUGACUGUGCAAAGGUAGCAUAAUCAGUUGUCUUAUAAUUGAAGUCUAGUAUGAAUGGGAAUCCGGGUAGAAGCUGUCUUAGUUAAGUUACUAGAAAUUUCUUAUUAAGUGAAAAUUCUUAUUAUUAGAAAAAAGACGAGAAGACCCUAGAAAUUUGUAACAAUAAAAUAAGAUUAUUAAAAAUAUUUUGUUGGGGCGACAUGGUAGCAAAAAUAAACCUGCCAAAUUAAUAAGAAACUAGUUAGUUGCAUAAAUAAAAUUACUCUAGGGAUAACAGCAUUAUUUAAUAUUAAGUUUGUGACCUCGAUGUUGGACUAGGGAAUAUUCUACUUAAAAGGUAGACUAGUGAGCUCUGUUCGAGCUAAUUUACCUACGUGAUCUGAGUUCAGACCGG